GACGGAGGGCGCAAACGUUGUUCGGAAUCACUGGGCGUAAAGGGCGCGUAGGCGGGACUGUAAGUCCGAGGUGAAAGCCCGGGGCUCAACCCCGGGACUGCCUUGGAAACUGCAGUCCUCGAGUGCAGGAGAGGAAGGCGGAAUUCCAGGUGUAGCGGUGGAAUGCGUAGAUAUCUGGAAGAACACCAGUGGCGAAGGCGGCCUUCUGGACUGACACUGACGCUGAGGCGCGAAAGCUCGGGGAGCAAACGGG
rnacentral:rRNA from 1 species